rnacentral:lncRNA from 1 species
AAUACUGCUGAAGCAAUUGUACAUACACAGGUAAAUAAAUAAACCUUGACCUAUCUGACACCUUAUACAAAAGUUAACUCAAGAUGCAUAAUGGACUUAAAUACAAAAUGUUAUGCUAUAAAAUUUUAAGGAAAUAAACACAGGAGAAUAUCUUCAGGACAUAGGACUAAGGAAAGAGUUCUUAGACCUGACACCAAAAGCAUAAUUCAUAAAAGGGAAAGUUAAUAAAUUAAACUUUAUCAAAAUGAUAAAGUUUUACUUUGCCAAAACUCUGCAGAGAUCAUACACUAAAUUCUUAUAUGUAUUUUGGCCUAUUUCUGUAACAUUGAUCUGCUUUUCUGUUCAUGUGCCAGUAGCACAGCCUUAAAGACUAAUACAACUUUAAACAGGCACAAUGAAUAUAGACAAUGAAUAAAUGAACCUUUAAAAAUUAUGUAUUUUGUUUUGUGAAUAUCAUAAGUAUAUGUCAUUGCAUUUUUUACAUUCAAGGUGUUGGUUUAGUCAGUGUAUGUGUUUAAAAUACAGCAUAAUUUUGGUAACUGUUAUAGGAUUUCCUAGUUUUUUAAUGUGUUCCCUAAAAUAUGUAGAAGUUUCCUAGUCUUCUUGGUCCCUGAGAUGCCUUGCUGGAAGAUGGUAUAAAAAUGGUAUAAUAAAAGAAUAGAAAACAAGAGGAAGUGAUGCAUGAGCAAUGAGCCCUUAAAUAUUAGGGACUAAAAACACGGCCCCACAAAUGCUAGGCUCCAGUCCACACCCCUGAUAGGACCUUAAGUUCUUUGUUGGUCUAUCCUCAGCACUGAGAAUUAUACCUGCCACAUAGUAGGUGCUCAACAAUUUUGUGUUAAAUGUAAUUUCCUGGGGAAGAAAUGAAUCAGAAGUAAGAGAAAGGCAGAGUCCACCCUAGCACUUCCACUGGGUAGGGAACUAUUGGUAGAAUUUCCUCCUUUUCUAUAGAAAUGGGAGACGUAGCCUUGCUUCCCCUCCAAAUUUCCAGGUGGUCUUUCUCACUUGACCCAUAAGCAAGCGGCAUAGCCACCAAACAACACACGUUGCUUGUUGGAGGUAGUGAGACUGAGUCCUGGAGCCAGGGAUGUGGUCACCUUUCCCUGCAGUCCUUUCCCACAGUGGGAAAUAAUCUUGGAUUUGAUCUGCCAUCUGCGCACAGGGAGGCAUCAAGUUGUUGGCUGGGUAUCAGCUCUGAUCCAGGCUGGGCUCAGUUAGGCGGUUCUCCUGUUCUCAUCCAUGUGCCUGUGGGUGCUUCAGAAGCAAAAGUAAAUCAGGCUCUUCCCUCUCUUCCCAGCCCUGCGGGCCCCUGCCUGCUCUCAGGGGAGCUAUGGCUGGUUCCUCUUUCCUGUCCCAGAGAGCUAAGCCUUUGUUCAUCCAAUUCCAGUGACUCCAGAGAGAUUCCCCAGCUCUGUAAUCAGAAACACCUUGUGGUGUGUGGCCUUGUGGCCAUCUGGUCU